rnacentral:rRNA from 1 species
UGAGAACGUGCCUUUUGGUUCGGAACGACCCAGGGAAACUUGGGCUAAUACCGGAUAAGUCCGUAAGGAGAAAGAUUUAUCGCCAAAAGAUCGGCCCGCGUCUGAUUAGCUAGUUGGUGGGUAAUGGCCCACCAAGGCUACGAUCAGUAGCUGGUCUGAGAGGAUGAUCAGCCACACUGGGACUGAGACACGGCCCAGACUCCUACGGGAGGCAG